GUGCUGGCUUCGGCAGCACAUAUACUAAAAUUGGAAUGAUACAGAGAAGAUUAGCAUGGCCCCUGCUCAAGGAUGACAAACAUACAUGGUUGGAAAUGGUGCAGAUCCAC